rnacentral:rRNA from 1 species
UACAGAGGUCCCAAGCGUUGUUCGGAUUCACUGGGCGUAAAGGGUGCGUAGGCGGUCGGGUAAGUCUGAUGUGAAAUCUCACAGCUUAACUGUGAAACUGCAUUGGAUACUAUCCGGCUAGAGGAAUGGAGGGGAGACUGGAAUACUUGGUAUAGCAGUGAAAUGCGUAGAUAUCAAGUGGAACACCAGUGGCGAAGGCGAGUCUCUGGACAUUUCCUGACGCUGAGGCACGAAAGCCAGGGGAGCAAACGGG